ACGGUACUAACUACGUGCCAGCAGCCGCGGUAAUACGGUAGGUGGCAAGCGUUAUCCGGAUUUUAUUGGGCGUAAAGAGAGUGCAGGCGGUUUUUCUAAGUCUGAUGUGAAAGCCUUCGGCUUAACCGGAGAAGUGCAUCGGAAACUGGAUAACUUGAGUGCAGAAGAGGGUAGUGGAACUCCAUGUGUAGCGGUGGAAUGCGUAGAUAUAUGGAAGAACACCAGUGGCGAAGGCGGCUACCUGGUCUGCAACUGACGCUGAGACUCGAAAGCAUGGGUAGCGAACAGGAUUAGAUACCCUGGUAG
rnacentral:rRNA from 1 species